rnacentral:rRNA from 1 species
CACCUCUAGCAUUACCAGUAUUAGAGGCACUGCCUGCCCAGUGACAUUAGUUAAACGGCCGCGGUAUCCUGACCGUGCAAAGGUAGCAUAAUCAUUUGUUCCUUAAUUAGGGACUUGUAUGAAUGGCCUCACGAGGGUUUAACUGUCUCUUACUUUUAAUCAGUGAAAUUGACCUUCCCGUGAAGAGGCGGGAAUACAAAAAUAAGACGAGAAGACCCUAUGGAGCUUAAAUCAAUUUGUUCAACAGAAUUUAAUUACAGUCCAAUAGGAAUAAAGAUAUUCUAACUGAACAAUAAAUUUUGGUUGGGGUGACCUCGGAGUAUAACAUAACCUCCGAGCAAUUAAACCAAGACUUACCAGUCAAGGUUAUAUAACUUAUUGAUCCAAUCUUAUUGAUCAACGAAACAAGUUACCCUAGGGAUAACAGCGCAAUCCUAUUUAAGAGUUCAUAUCGACAAUAGGGUUUACGACCUCGAUGUUGGAUCAGGACACCCAAAUGGUGCAGCAGCUAUUAAAGGUUCGUUUGUUCAACG